rnacentral:rRNA from 1 species
UGCAGUCGAGCGGACAGAUGGGAGCUUGCUCCCUGAUGUUAGCGGCGGACGGGUGAGUAACACGUGGGUAACCUGCCUGUAAGACUGGGAUAACUCCGGGAAACCGGGGCUAAUACCGGAUGCUUGUUUGAACCGCANGGUUCAAACAUAAAAGGUGGCUUCGGCUACCACUUACAAAUGGACCCGCGGCGCAUUAGCUAGUUGGUGAGGUAACGGCUCACCAAGGCAACGAUGCGUAUCCGACCUGAGAGGGUGAUCGGCCUCACUGGGACUGAGACACGGCCCAGACUCCUACGGGAGGGAGCAGUAGGGAAACUUCCGCAAUGGACGAAAGUCUGACGGAGCAACGCCGCGUGAGUGAUGAAGGUUUUCGGAUCGUAAAGCUCUGUUGUUAGGGAAGAACAAGUACCGUUCGAAUAGGGCGGUGCCUUGACGGUACCUAACCAGAAAGCCACGGCUAACUACGUGCCAGCAGCCGCGGUAAUACGUAGGUGGCAAGCGUUGUCCGGAAUUAUUGGGCGUAAAGGGCUCGCAGGCGGUUCCUUAAGUCUGAUGUGAAAGCCCCCGGCUCAACCGGGGAGGGUCAUUGGAAACUGGGGAACUUGAGUGCAGAAGAGGAGAGUGGAAUUCCACGUGUAGCGGUGAAAUGCGUAGAGAUGUGGAGGAACACCAGUGGCGAAGGCGACUCUCUGGUCUGUAACUGACGCUGAGGAGCGAAAGCGUGGGGAGCGAACAGGAUUAGAUACCCUGGUAGUCCACGCCGUAAACGAUGANUGCUAAGUGUUAGGGGGUUUCCGCCCCUUAGUGCUGCAGCUAACGCAUUAAGCACUCCGCCUGGGGAGUACGGUCGCAAGACUGAAACUCAAANGAAUUGACGGGGGCCCCCACAAGCGGGAACAUGUGGUUUAAUUCGAAGCAACGCGAAAAACCUUACCA